rnacentral:rRNA from 1 species
UUCUGGUUGAUCCUGCCAGAGGUCACUGCUAUCGGGGUUCGAUUAAGCCAUGCGAGUCGAGAGGGUUCGGCCCUCGGCGUACUGCUCAGUAACACGUGGAUAACCUGCCCUAGGGGAGGGGAUAACCCCGGGAAACUGGGGAUAAUACCCUAUAGGUUACAGAUGCUGGAAUGCCCUGUACCAAAGCUCCGGCGCCCUAGGAUGGAUCUGCGGCCGAUUAGGUUGUUGUUGGGGUAACGGCCCAACAAGCCCGUAA